UGUUACAUAUUUCCGGUACAAGUACGCGGGCAUUAGAGAAGGACGGAACGGUCUCUCUCUUUACCCCUAUAUCGCGUUUUUAGUUCGCUCACGCGCUCUGUACUUAUAUCUAUUACAUUCCCACCAUAAGCAGCGGCCGUGCCAGUGACUUACAAAAGUUUCGAACUCGCGGACGUUUAAUCACGUUCCCUACUCCGAAGGGUAUUCCUUCGCCGCCCGGGAGAAAGACAGGUAUGAAGAAAGAAGAUAUUUUUUUUAUUAUCUUUUUAAUAUUGAUAUUUCGACAAAUAUUGACGUGUGCAGUGAGAAAAUCAAGUGAAAUUUUGAAUAAUAUCGUUUUAAUAAUUUGUGAAACGAAUUAGUUUGGUUUUUUUCAUUUUUAUUAGUUUCCGUCAGUGCUGAUUGACGCGCUACUCCAGUUUCCAUUUCCGUUUCUCGAAAUUUCCUACGUCCUUGGUCUUUGGGACUCUUUUGCCCAGGUAACUGCAUUGCUUCUGGGUACGUCUCACCGUUCGGGUCUCUCGAGCUUUCGGUGUCAGUUGUUACCGUUGAAGGAGGAGAAGCUGGUGACGGAUAUUAUCGAAUAAAUCGUUUAUUCUGGAAAAGUUCGAGUGGUCGUAUUUUGCUGAUGCUGCGUCUGCGUUCUUUCCAUGGCCUUCGUUACUGAUACCAGUGGAAUGUGCCUGUCGCGUGGCUGCUUGGCCUUGCUGAGGUUGCAUUUUGUGUGUCCGGUGAUCGCCCUGCUGAUGUCGGUGAAGCGUACGAG
rnacentral:misc_RNA from 1 species